CGCUCAGCCUGUCCUUGGGGGCCCGAGAGCUCAGAGUUGACUGCCUGCCUGGGGAGCAGAGCUCAGCAGAGAUGGGGGCAAUGGGGAGGUCAAAGUGUAAAACACCCACUUCCCAGGCCCCUUUCCUCCCAGAGGGGACAUUGGCCCCCAAAAUCCCCAGAGGCUGUGCUCCAGGCAUCCACAGUGCUGACAACUCCCUCCCUCCCCUGCCAGGAACAACCUCCCAAAGGAAACCCUGCCCUCAAGUCCUGGCCUCAGGAACCCAAAUUGCCUAGCAGGGAGAUCAUCAAAUUGUCCUGUUAAGAUCCAUGCUCUUCACUGAAUGUACCUUACUCCAAAAAGAGAACUGAAAGCAAACAUUGACCUCCAGCUGAUGAUGUGCACGCCGAAGCGUUCCCUGAUAUCAGCAACUUCCAGUGCAACGCGUGGAGCAGCAUUGUUCACGCUGACGGGAGAACCUGGCCACCUGGCUCAGGACGCACACGCCAGCGGGUGGACAGACUGGAAUCCACGUCCAGUUCAGGGAGAGGAAGAGGAAAGGGAACCUUCACGCAUCAUUUGCAUUAAAAUGUCCCCAGCACACCUGGUGUGGUUUCAGAUGUGCUGGGCUCCUGGAGAGAGUUCUGUCACUCACUGGCAAAGGUUUCCGGUGGUCCCCCGCCACCCCAGUUACCAACAGCUCCAGCCCACACUGGGGAGUGGCAGAGAGGCGGCACCCUCAAGCCUGCAAAGACGCCUUUUCAACGCCGGCCCGCCUGGCACUGGCACCAUCACCACCUCCUCCCCCACCCCAAGUGGCCCUGUGAUCACCACGUGGAAGUUCAGGCCCAUCCCAGGCCGUUCUGAAAAUGGCCAGCUCUCUCUGGCAGCUCCGAGAGCUAAAAGGGCCGGCCACCUUCAGUGAGCAGACAGCCGGAGGACGGGGUCCUUCCCCAGAGCCGGUCCAGGGCGGCCCUGGUCCUGCGACACAGCAUCAUGGGCUCCGAGUCCACAGCAAAGCCACGGGACCUCCCACAGCCAUGAGCUCCCUGGUCGCUCUGCAGCCCUCAGCUUUGUCCAGUCGGCAAGCGUGGGCCUCAGGACUUGGGGUUGGGUGGUCAUCAGGGUGCAUCACCGGGAACUGGGCCAGGAGAUGGUUGUGCAGGCCUUGGAAACGGACCUGGCCCCAGAACCUUCUGGAAGCCUUUAUGUCCCAGCUCAGCCAUUCUGUAACUGUAAAUAGCCAGCCUGGACUGGCUGAUGCCUAAGAAGCUUCGGGCACCUUUGACACACGUGGCGGCAUCCUCAGACUCUUGGGGGCUCAUCUCUGAAGAGUCUGAUGGAGCGACAAACUUAGCCUUGCUCCCUCCAGGCAUGGUCAGCCCCAGCCUCCAGUGACCAGGCAGGAUCCCGUCUCUCUGGGGACCUCUCUAUGGGGAGGAGAGCGGAGCCCCGUUAUCCUGGAGUUUGGGCACUGCACCCUCUGGGUUCUGUGUGCACGUUCCCAGCAGCUCUCUUCUCCAGCCGACAGCGGGUGUGGGGAGAGCUCCUUCCAGGCUGCCUGCUCCCUUCCUGGAGGAGCGUGCCUCUCACCAGCAAUCAAGUUUGCAAACUGGGCAUGUGGGUGGACUUCCCGUUAUUUUAAUUAAACAGGGUCUUUCCGGUGUGUUUUAUUUCCUUCCUGUGGUCUCCUUUCUCUUUUCGCAGCUUUUCUUUGUCCUCUUUCCUUUUAAAACAGGACCCCUUAACCAUGUAGACCAUGGAAAUGCUUCUAGGGGUCGACAU
rnacentral:lncRNA from 1 species